CUGCUACUCUCUCCGUCCGGAAAUACUUGUCAUCAAAAUGGAUGAAAAUGGAUGUAUCUAUAACUAAAAUACAUCUAGAUACAUCCAUUUCAAUGACAAGUAUUUUCGGACGGAGGGAGUACCUG
rnacentral:pre_miRNA from 1 species